UUAUAUGAAUAAGGAUACAACCUACAAUAACGGGUAAACUAGGGAACUAUUACUAAAGUUGGCCUGAAAGCAGCUACCUUUAAAAGGGCGUCAAAGCCUUAAUAUAUUAACCCUCAAUCUCAUAAUUUAUAAUGAACCCUCCCACACUACUGAACUAUUUUAUAAUUAUAUAAAAGAAAUAAUGCUAGAACUAGUAAUAAGAGGUAGCCCCUCUCCUAAAUGUUAGCUUACGCCAUAACGGACCUACCAAUGGCCAUUAACGCCUAUGAAAAUACUAUAGUAACUUUUCUAGAAAACCCUAUUAUUAAUUACGUUAAUCUUACACAAGAACAUUUCAGGAAAGAUUAAAAGAGUAAGAAGGAACUCGGCAAACAUAAACCCCGCCUGUUUACCAAAAACAUCGCCUCUUGAUUAACUAUAAGAGGUCCAGCCUGCCCAGUGACAUAGUUCAACGGCCGCGGUACCCUGACCGUGCGAAGGUAGCAUAAUCACUUGCUCUUUAAAUGGGGGCUAGUAUCAACGGCAUCACGAGGGUUCAACUGUCUCCUUUAUCUAAUCAAUGAACCUGAUCUCUUCGUGAAGAAGCGAGGAUAAAAAU
rnacentral:rRNA from 1 species